rnacentral:rRNA from 1 species
UCUCCCUGGGAAAAAGGGUGGUAAUGCCGGAUGCUCCAGUUGAUCGCAUGGUCUUCUGGGAAAGCUUUCGCGGUAUGGGAUGGGGUCGCGUCCUAUCAGCUUGACGGCGGGGUAACGGCCCACCGUGGCUUCGACGGGUAGCCGGCCUGAGAGGGCGACCGGCCACAUUGGGACUGAGAUACGGCCCAGACUCCUACGGGAGGCAGCAGUGGGGAAUAUUGCACAAUGGGCGCAAGCCUGAUGCAGCGACGCCGCGUGAGGGAUGGAGGCCUUCGGGUUGUAAACCUCUUUUAUCGGGGAGCAAGCGAGAGUGAGUUUACCCGUUGAAUAAGCACCGGCUAACUACGUGCCAGCAGCCGCGGUAAUACGUAGGGUGCAAGCGUUAUCCGGAAUUAUUGGGCGUAAAGGGCUCGUAGGCGGUUCGUCGCGUCCGGUGUGAAAGUCCAUCGCUUAACGGUGGAUCCGCGCCGGGUACGGGCGGGCUUGAGUGCGGUAGGGGAGACUGGAAUUCCCGGUGUAACGGUGGAAUGUGUAGAUAUCGGAAAAGAACACCA